AGCGAACGCUGGCGGCAGGCCUAACACAUGCAAGUCGAACGAACCUUUCGGGGUUAGUGGCGGAAGGGUGAGUAACACGUGGGAACGUGCCCUUAGGUUCGGAAUCACUCAGGGAAACUUGUGCUAAUAACGAAUGUGCCCUUCGGGGGAAAGAUUAAUCGCCUUUAGAGCGGCCCGCGUCUGAUUAGCUAGUUGGUUGAGGUAAUGGCUCAUCAAGGCGACGCUCAGUAGCUGGUCUGCGAGGAUGCUAAGCCACAUUGGAACUGAGACACGGCCCAAACAGCUACGGAGGGCAGCAGGGUGGAGACUUGUGCAAUGGGCGAAAGUGUGACGAAGCCAUGCCGCGUGAAUGGUGAAGGUCUUUGGAUUGUAAAAUUCUUUCUGCGGGGGCGAUAAUGACGGUACCCGGAAAAGAAGCCCCGGCUAACUACGUG
rnacentral:rRNA from 1 species